rnacentral:rRNA from 1 species
UGCCGUUAGUUGCCAGCGGGUGAAGCCGGGCACUCUAACGGACUGCCUGCGAAAGCAGGAGGAAGGCGGGGACGACGUCUGGUCAUCAUGGCCCUUACGGCCUGGGCGACACACGUGCUACAAUGCCCACUACAAAGCGAGGCGACCUGGCAACAGGGAGCGAAUCGCAAAAAGGUGGGCGUAGUUCGGAUUGGGGUCUGCAACCCGACCCCAUGAAGCCGGA